UCUCGGCCGAUUUCCUGCACCGGCGCUAGUGCUGCUGCUGUUUUGCUGCGUGUCCUUCUCGCGUCUACAUCGUCCAUCUCUGACACUAUUUCCAUCAUGGUGGACGUUUUGUUGUUAAUGUUUUUCGCCAUCAUUGGCCUCGUCUUCCUUUCCUAUAUCAUCUACUUGCUGUGACGAUGAUGAUGAUGAUGAUGAAGCAUUCUGCUCAGCCUGCACACAGGCGUACACAGGAUGUGUGUUUUGUCUCCUGCAUCCCUGGUUUCCAUCAUGGACAGUGGGAGAAGAGCCGGGGUCCAGCCGUGAUGGUUUCCCCAUUGGAGCUCUUAUGUGGGAGGUGAAGACCAAUCCAGCUGAGAGGGAAAACAAAUGGACAAGAAGUGGAAGCCAAACUCUCCCUGCCUCUUUGUCUCCUACUUGCACUCUGUCAAUCCCCCCUCAUUCUCCUUCUUUAUUUGUUCAGGAUCCUCCAACAAAAUGUCACUACUCCAAGAGCUACCACUUACUUAUUUGCAAUAAGUGUAACCAGUGUAUUUUCUAUGCUCCUCAAGCUUGUGCAUGUUUCUCUUUAAAGGAGGAGAAAUGUUCCCUCUGCACAAGCGUAAUAAAUCCAUAGACAUUCGAUUCCGGGUGGUUUUGUAGGUUUAAGCGUAAUACAGGUGUGUAAUAGCCUUUUUAACAACACUGAGCUAGUUUUUGGUUCUAGCUAUAAUGUGUAAUGUUCAGUUUGACUAUCAUCCUUAUGACUGUGUGGCCAACCCUUCUGUACUCGUGUUUUGUUUAUCAAAGAGUUGGAGAGCUUCAGCCUUUUAUAUGUCAGAGAUGGUGUGCUUGGUUUGAUUGGUUGGCUCAGCUUUGACAUUGGUGUUAUUAUAUUACUUUAUUCACGUGUUGCCAAUAUGUUCUUCCCCUCACUACAAUCAAGAUUCCCCGUCAGGUUAAAGGAGAAUGUGUCAGUUAUAUAGUGUUCUAUACUUUAAGAGUGAUUCUUGACUGUUUUUGUUUUGGCUAAAAAUGACAUCCAUGAGGAGCAGUAAUGUCAUUUCAGAAAUACAUCCACUAUAUGUGCUUCUCAGUUUUACCACCAAACCUCAUUAUCUAUUAUCUGUUAUAUAUAAAUAAUGUUAAGUUUACUGAUGCACUGAUGAUUUACUGAGGUUAAUGUCAAUAUGACAUGAUAUGUCAAAUAAAGAUGAUUUCAGUAAACCCA